CUCCCACUCCGCCACACUCCCGCCGCGGGGGGCCGGGGUCGCUCGGCUCGCGCCGCUCAGCUCCCGCCGGGUCUCACCUGGGCGAGGGCGGCUUGGGAGGACGGGCCGCGCCUACGGGGAAGGCGGGCGACUGGGCGGGGAUGGGCGCGUUUAAAAUGGCGGCGGGCGGGAUGUGGCGUGCUCGCUUAGCGGGCCGCGGCUGGCGGCCGUUGGUUGCGCGGAGCCGAGCGUUCUCGUUCGCUUCGGGCCGCCCGCAAACCUUUUUUCCACAGAGUGAGUAAAAACUGGCUAAUCGUGCAGACUGAGGGCAGCUGGCCUCGAGAGGGCUGCGGAUGGCUCCUGCCGGGGUGACGUUAUUGUCACUCAGGGUGUGCACAGUGCAUGGCGGCCACGUGAAGUGGUGAAGCACAAACGUGACCAAGAAAUCUCUCGGCAAAGCUCUUUGGCCACUUAAUCUAUAAGACUUAACUCGUGGGGUUUUUUUUUUUUUUGAGAAGAAUGUGGGAAGCCACACCCCUGCCCCUGGUUUUUAAGAAAUUAGCUAACUUCUGGCUCUUCAGUUUAAGAGGAGAUUUUGCAAUGAAGGAGGAUACCAUAGAGUGUGUAUGCUGGAGUAGCAUGAAGCAUUAGGAGGCAAGAUACUGGUUAUGGUGGGUCAAAAUGGUCUAUUCUAUUCUGACAUUUCCUAUAUUCUUUUUCAGUGCCUGUAUUUGUCCUGAUUGCUUGUUUUUUUUCUUUUUCUUUUUUUUUUUUUUGGUCUUCUUUCCAACUUUUAUUUUUACUGGCAAGAUAGAAAAAGAAGUCAAUAUGUAGUUUGACACAGCUCAUCCAACUUGUCAGAUUUUUGUUUAGUGUCUUGAUACUGUGGUUUCACAUAUUUCUUGUUCACAUUGUUAGGGUAUAAGGUUUUCCACAGUAUGCACCACAUAUAAAUGUCUGUGCUGUGGUAUCUCUUAAAUUAAUCUUUUUGAAUUAGUGUCGGGUUUUGAAGCAGUGCAAGUACUUCUAAAUGAAACUCUCUGUAUGAUUGCAAUUCAGAUAAACAUAAAUCUCAAAUACAGGUUUUGAGAAUUGAAGGGUAUUGCAAUUUUCACUGACUUCCUUGGUGUUGAAUCAAUGGAUACCAUACUCUGUUUUCCAUUUAUGGAAUUGUUCUGUGAACAAAAAAACUUCCAAACCACAGGUUUCCUUGAGAUUUUCUGCCCUUAAUUCCUCUAGUCAGUUUCCUCUGUCUCUUUGUGACUGCCUAAAACAACCCCCCAACUUCUCUUUUUCUCCUGUAUUUUCAUAUUCUCACAUCUUCUGUCUCUUAUCCCACAUCUCAGCCGUUCUUAUUGUUUUCUGAAAACUUAUCUUCCC
rnacentral:lncRNA from 1 species